rnacentral:tRNA from 1 species
UCCCAGGUGGUCUAGUGGUUAGGAUUAGUGGCUCUCACCCACGCGGCCCGGGUUCGAUUCCCGGUCUGGGAA